UGGAAUACUGAAGUAAUAGGCUCUUGUGACAAUAUAAGAAUGUUCCAGCAUCAGGAUAGAUGAGCUUGGCAGCAAAAGUGGGGGUAAGCAGGGAAAAGGCAGAAAUUUCCUUUUUCCUUGCCUUUUUCAUAUAGACUGGCAACCAGUUCCUCCCAGUUAACUGCAUUAUACUGCUUGAGAAACUUUCUUUCUUGAGGAAACAAUUUUGUAGUGACUUUGAAGAACUUUGUAAUACAGUCUUCAGUUUUUUGGAAGACUGCAAAGGCAAAAACCAAGAAUGUUAAUAAAUUGGAAUCGGAACGUCCGAAGGAAAUCAGAGCCAACAAAACAUUUUCUUUUAUAGAGAAUGAGA